AGUGAACGCUGGCGGCGUGCCUAAUACAUGCAAGUCGAACGAUGAAGUCCUAGCUUGCUAGGAUGGAUUAGUGGCGCACGGGUGAGUAAUAUAUAGUUAAUCUGCCCUACACAGAGGAACAACAGUUGGAAACGGCUGCUAAUACCUCAUACUCCUAUUUGACAUAAGUUAAAUAGGGAAAGUCUUUUCGGUGUAGGAUGAGACUAUAUCGUAUCAGCUAGUUGGUAAGGUAAUGGCUUACCAAGGCUAUGACGCGUAACUGGUCUGAGAGGAUGAUCAGUCACAUUGGAACUGAGACACGGUCCAAACACCUACGGGAGGCAGCAGUAAGGAAUAUUGCGCAAUGGGGGAAACCCUGACGCAGCAACGCCGCGUGGAGGAUGACACUUUUCGGAGCGUAAACUCCUUUUAUCAGGAAAGAAUAAUGACGGUACCUGAUGAAUAAGCACCGGCUAACUCCGUG
rnacentral:rRNA from 1 species